AAGGGUGCGUAGGCGGUUUGGAAAGUCAGGUGUGAAAUCCUACAGCUUAACUGUAGAACUGCACUUGAAACUUCCAGACUAGAAUACUGAAGGGGCAGAUGGAAUUAGUGGUGUAGGGGUAAAAUCCGUAGAUAUCACUAGGAAUACCGAAAGCGAAAGCGAUCUGCUGGGAAGUUAUUGACGCUGAGGCACGAAAGCGUGGGGAGCAAACGGGAUUAGAUACCCCGGUAGUCCACGCCCUAAACGAUGAAUGCUAGUCGUCGGAAAGCUCGUCUUUUCGGUGAUGCAGUUAACACAUUAAGCAUUCCGCCUGGGGAGUACGGUCGCAAGAUUAAAACUCAAAGGAAUAGACGGGGACCCGCACAAGUGGUGGAGCAUGUGGUUUAAUUCGAAGAUACGCGAAGAACCUUACCUAGCCUUGACAUUGAUAGAAUCUGAUAGAGAUAUCGGAGUGCCUGCUUGCAGGAACUUGAAAACAGGUGCUGCACGGCUGUCGUCAGCUCGUGUCGUGAGAUGUUGGGUUAAGUCCCGCAACGAGCGCAACCCUCGUCGUUAGUUGCUAACAGUUCGGCUGAGCACUCUAGCGAGACUGCCUUCGCAAGGAGGAGGAAGGUGAGGACGACGUCAAGUCAUCAUGGCCCUUAUGACCUGGGCUACACACGUGCUACAAUGGUCGGUACAGAGGGUUGCGAUACCGCGAGGUGGAGCCAAUCUCAGAAAACCGAUCGUAGUCCGGAUUGGAGUCUGCAACUCGACUCCAUGAAGUCGGAAUCGCUAGUAAUCGCGAAUCAGAAUGUCGCGGUGAAUACGUUCCCGGGCCUUGUACACACCGCCCGUC
rnacentral:rRNA from 1 species